rnacentral:rRNA from 1 species
GGAAUUCACUAGUGAUUCAGGCCUAACACAUGCAAGUCGAGCGGUAGAGAGAAGCUUGCUUCUCUUGAGAGCGGCGGACGGGUGAGUAAAGCCUAGGAAUCUGCCUGGUAGUGGGGGAUAACGUUCGGAAACGGACGCUAAUACCGCAUGCGUCCUACGGGAGAAAGCAGGGGACCUUCGGGCCUUGCGCUAUCAGAUGAGCCUAGGUCGGAUUAGCUAGUUAGUGAGGUAAUGGCUCACCAAGGCGACGAUCCGUAACUGGUCUGAGAGGAUGAUCAGUCACACUGGAACUGAGACACGGUCCAGACUCCUACGGGAGGCAGCAGUGGGGAAUAUUGGACAAUGGGCGAAAGCCUGAUCC